UUCGGCCUGUGUUGGCGCGUUGGAUCCCUGCUCGAGCAGCGACAACGUCUCACGCAGGCCUCUUCGGUUGUUGGCCCGAGCACGUCUCGGCCAUUGUCAGUUUCUUGUUUUGGAUACCUACUUUGAGGGCAUUCUUCGGUCGGAAAUGAUGAGCUUCCGCCUCUUGCCGCGCCCCUCGGGGAUGCGGUGUCGGGUGGACCUCAAAGCACGCUUCGUGUCCCAUGUCCCUUGCACAACUAUGUGCUUGGUCUUUUGGCCCAUGCUGCCGUGCGCGAUAUCUCGGAUACGGAACAUUGUGCGGGCACGAGGCCCUCGGCCUCUAUCUUGCCCAAACUUCGAGCGACCUACGCUUCGUGCGAAAGACUGUCCCUUGCGUGUUGAACGGGUCCACGUGGCCCGUCUCAUGCGCCUGCGACGUCCGUGGGGAA
rnacentral:misc_RNA from 1 species